rnacentral:rRNA from 1 species
CCUACGGGUGGCAGCAGUGGGGAAUAUUGCACAAUGGGGGGAACCCUGAUGCAGCGACGCCGCGUGAGUGAAGAAGUAUUUCGGUAUGUAAAGCUCUAUCAGCAGGGAAGAAAAUGACGGUACCUGACUAAGAAGCACCGGCUAACUACGUGCCAGCAGCCGCGGUAAUACGUAGUGGGCAAGCGUUAUCCGGAUUUACUGGGUGUAAAGGGAGCGCAGACGGCUGUGCAAGUCUGGAGUGAAAGGCGGGGGACCAACGCCCGGACUGCUCUGGAAACUGUAAAGCUGGAGUGCAGGAGAGGUAAGCGGAAUUCCUAGUGUAGCGGUGAAAUGCGUAGAUAUUAGGAGGAACACCAGUGGCGAAGGCGGCUUACUGGACUGCAACUGACGUUGAGGCUCGAAAGCGUGGGGAGCAAACAGGAUUAGAUACCCGAGUAGUC